rnacentral:lncRNA from 1 species
UUUUUUUUUUUUUUUUUUUUUUUAAUGAUCCACAAAGUCAGUAACUGGCCAAGACCACACAGCUGGUAAGUGAUGGAUUCAAGCACAGUCUCUCCAAGGUCUAAGCCCUUUACUCACAGACUCUCUUGCCCGCCUGGCUAUACCCAGAAGGAAGAACUCAAACCCUAAAAAGCAUCUCUAUGAAAUCUACAGAGAGACAGGCUACUGGAUCAGAACCAUGACAACACCAGAUUCACAUGUGUACGCUACUUUCUUUCACCAGAGGGAAUGGGCUUUAUUGGUUUUUUUAUUUUGUUUUGUUUUUAACCUAAAAUGACUCCCAUUGUAAACUAGAAAAUUAAGAUCACCUAUAAUCACAGCACUUGGAGGUAAUCUGAUAAUCUCUCGUUAAAAAUCCUUCCAAAAAUUUUAAGUGUUCUCAUAUGCUUUUUUUUAACCUUUUAUUUUGGAAUAAUUUUAGAUAAACAGAAAAGUUGCAAAGGUCGUACAGAGUUCCUGUACAUCCUUCAGCCACGAAGGAUAAAACACAUGGACAUUUUCCAACAAAGCCAAGAAAGUAACAUGGGUACUUCCUAUGGAGUACCGAUUUUACUUGGAUCACCCCAGUUUUUCUACGCAUGUCUUUUUUCCUUUCCAGGAUCCAGUCUGGGGUACCCCAUAGCAGUGGCCUCGUACAGUUUUUAAACAGUUUUUGUUUGUUUGUUUUCAGGGCCACGCCUGCCGCAUCUGCAGUUCCCAGUCUAGGGGUCGAAUCAGAGCUGCAGCCACAGCCACAGCAACACUGGAUCCGAGCUGCAUCUGCGACCUAUAGCGCAGCUUGUGGCAACGCCAGGUCUUUAACCCACUGAGCAAGGCCAGGGAUAGAACCUGCAUCCUCCCGGAGACUCUGUCAAGUUCUUUACCCACCAAGCCACAAUAGGAACUCCCAAACAGACUACUUUUACUCAACAAUACAUCAUGAACGUAUUUCUAGUUCAACAUAGGGACACCUCCACCAUCAUUUUCAGCAGCGCCCUAGCAUUGCGUUUUAUGAAUGGGUGACACCCUCCUUCGGAAGGGCAUUUCCGUAACAGUAGGAUGAGCAAACCUCCAUGCUAUGCAGACGUGUCUGAGGUGCGCCAGGAUAAGCUCCCGAGAAGUGCAAGGAGAGUGUGUCAAGAGGAUGCCCUUCCAUGCUUUUCAUUCCACACGCUCCUGAAAUCCUGAACCCACGUGCCCCCGCAGAUCAAUAACUUUAACCUAGAUUCAUUUUGGACCAUAAACGACUUAUCAGACACACCAACUCCUCCAUACUCUAGAGAGACGGCUAUGGAAAGGGAGAGGGUUCAUGGGCUUCAAGACCAUCAUGCACUGCCCCCCAGCGCCCCCCCCAACCAGAACACAAUCCACUGUAAAGAGCCACCUGAAAUUACACCUUCAUUCUGAUUAGGAGUCUGAUUAAGGUCAAGCUGGUCCCACACUUUGGGCCUGACCGACAACGAGAUGUCCCUGUCUUUGGCAUUUCGAUGGUGGAAUUACCUCUGGGGUACAGGGCCACCCCCACUGCCCCACCCUGAGUUUAAUUUCCUUCCCAUCUCUCCGCAAUGUCUACCGAAACUCCCCGAAGGAAAAGCUCCGAGCAGGCUUGUGUGGUAAUGCGUGCAGCAGGAAUGACAAAAGCAUCUGAGAAUCAGCAAAGGUACAUGUCUUUUUUUUUUUUUCCUGGUGGUGAAAGGAAUAGAGGGAGGGGUAAUGAUUAGAAAACUGCUUGCCUAUCUAAAAACAGCUCAGAGCGAGCUGGAACCAGGACCUGCCCAGCAUGCUAGCUAUCGCCGUGGUCUCUCCUUCAAAAGAAGCCCAUGUUGCAGGUGGAGGCUCUAUUCUCCAACGCAAAAUACUGUGACCCCAUGCACGGGACUGCAAAAUACUAUAUAUUUGAUUUUUGACUUUUGAUUUUUUUUGGCCGCGCGCAUAUGGAAGAUCCCAGGCCAGGGACUGAAUCUGCGUCAUAGCAGAGACCAGAGCUGCUGUGGUGACCACACUGGAUCCUUAACUCGAUGCACCACCAGAGAACUCCUAUGCUAUAUAUUUGAGAUGAUUAAACGGGGACCGGCCGGGGGUGGGGAGGAGGGAAUUAAGCGGGGAAGGAGGCAGGGAAGGAUUAGAGACAUGGAGACCUACCCCAUGCUGGGGAAUUCUGAAGUGCCAUCCUGGCUUGCAAAAAAGAAAAGCAAAGCAAAAGAAAAAACAAGCUCCUGAUCAGAGGGAACGCUCUUCCAUGCCAAACUCAGCUGGAAUUAAUACACAAUACAACCUCUAAGAUGGGGAAACGCUGCUCAGAAAUAAGAGCCUCUUCUCUAAAGGCAACUGAUGAAAACCAACAGGAAGUCGAGAAUAUUCUGGGAAGAGAAAGGGCUGCCUUCAUCCCAAUGUUUGCAACCUUGUCACUCUGGUCAGGGCCACACUUUCAGGUCAGGAGGGCCCGAGUCUCCGAGGCUAAGGAUGCCAGGUCCAUUUUCCCCAGAAGAACAAUGCCCGUGACCUUGGGCCGAUGACCUCCCCGGGGCCUCUGUGGUCUGCUUGAGUGGUCGGGAGAACCCAUUUGACUUUUGAAUUCCACCCAGAAACCACAGGAGGUUCUGCCCAGGGAACAGAACAAUUGAAUUGAUUACAGGGAUGGAGGACCCCCCAAAGGACUUUCCUGUCCCCUCCUUCCCGGGUGGGCUCCGGACCACUAGGGAGGAGCCUUCAGCUGAGGGACAGCAGGGAGACUCUGCUUAGGAGGGAGGAAGAAAAAAACAGGCUUGAAAACAGAGGAGACACUUUCUCCUGUUAGCUGAGAAAGUACUGUCGUGACUCAAGAGGAAGGAGCUUCUGCAGAGAAACGGAACUUUAAAAGCAAGGCGCCCUGGUUCCAGCGCGCGUCUUCCUGGGUGAAGCAGCCCAUUUCUGCUAGUGGAGUCUUUCUUCUUAAAUUUUUUUAUUAUGGUUGAUUUAUAAUGUUCUGUCAAUUUCUGCUGUACAGCAAAGUGACCCAGUUAUAUAUACAUAUAUAUAUAUAUAUACAUUCUUUUUUUCAUAUUAUUCUCUAUCGCAUUCCAUCACAAGUGAUUAGAUAUAGUUUCCUGUGCUAUGUCUUGUUUGUUUGCCUCCUUUUUUUUUUUUUUCGAAUGGAGCAUUUUAGGCCAAACUGGGGAUCUCUUGACAUUUAGGUGAUUCAACCUGUCAAUCUCAAAUUCAGAUUCAAGCCACUACAAAAAUCAGACCUUCAGAUUCUAAUCACGGGACUGUAUCUGUGUGUGCUGGGUCAUGAAGCAGAAGUUGCAGGAGGUGACUCCACUUCCAUGAGGUUUUCCCAAAGUCCCCAGCUAUACGCACGACUCCCUUGGUUGUGCUUGUUUCCUCCGAAUUGUGAAGCUUACACGAGCUCUGGAAGCACAAACGCACCAGAGGGAGGAACCAGGGACAGACCUUUGGGCUGCAAAUACAACCUGCUGUUGCAAUCAAAUAAAACUCGCGGCAAAUUAAGCCUGACAUUUAGGAAUAACCACAUUGUUAUUGCCCUACACAGAACUCCAGCAGCAAAGACAGACCUCUCACAGAGGUGACUCAAACGGGGGCCCAAGGGAACUGGGGAAAGCAGAGACCUUCCUGCAAGUCCCUCUAGAGGCUGGGUUGCAGAGGCAGGCAUUAGCCGGGACACAAACUCAGGCAGCCUGGACCCAGAAUGCCAUCUUGGGGCCGUGACACAGGAUAAACAAAACCACGUGACUCCUCCUCGCAGGGGUUUUGAGUCCAGCCAAGGCAGGGUGGAUGCUGCAGACCUCAGCGUGGGCCUGGAAGCACCUGCUGAAAAGAAGCAGGCUGAGGACCUCGGAUGUCCCCUCCCCCCCAGUGUCACCAAGGUCAGAGAACCCAGGAGGUGUAAUUCAAGAACAGCUGAGCCCCUUCUGUAAAGACCCGCCAUUCCUUGCAGCCUUCAAGUAUCUGUAAUCCCUCCUAUUAUGUAUUUACUUGCAUGGAAAGCAAAUGUUAAAACUCUAAAGGUUUCUUGUCCCUUAGAACUUGGUUGGUGGUUUAUCCAGUGGACUUUCCUAGUUGGUCCCUACCCCCUCCAACCUCCCGUGAGAGGAGUGGGUUAACUCCUGGGUCCCUCCUUCUGGCUGUCCUCACUGUGCCUGCCUAGAGGUGGGCAGCAAGAAGGGGGGAAGAGAAACCAUGGCAUCUCUGGACCAGCCACCCAAGCCUUCAGGCUGCAGCAAACAGAUGGUGCGGGCUGGCCAGGAGCUGUACAGGGCACCACCGUGCUCUGUGCCAAUCUCUCGGGAGGCGGCUGAACUUGGCCACCCAUGUUCAGAGGGCCUUACUCCACAUCCACCCAACGGAGGCAGGAGGCUGGGGUCCACCAGAUGGCAGAAAGGUUGACUGCGGGAGCUGCAGGAUCAUCUGUUCAGUCGCACAUGAAAACAGUGAAAGACCUGCUCUGUGCCAGUUCUGGAGACACAGUGUGGAAGAAAACCAGCCAUCUCCCCACCCCAGUGGACGGGACUGAUGUUAGCAGACACAAACUGGGAAGAGCCCUGGCAGGGUUGAGGACCCAGGUGGAGCAGCCUAGCUGGCAAAUGAACUUGACCUACAAAGGUAAAGAGAGAACCUGAAGAAGAAGCUGUUGAUCUGCUCUUGACUUGGGGUGAGUUAAUCCUUCUAAGCCUCACUUUGCUCGUCUGUAAAAUGGGCCCAUCUCCGUGCAGCCACCGGGAGGCUGGAACGUGAAACUGCACUGAAGAAGGACUUGGCUGAAGGACAGGUCUCGAUAAAUGUUAACCUGCGGCAUCAGGAGACCCACUUCAGAUACAGGGCUCGGGCUUAAGCUCACAGAGACCCACACGCCUCUCCUCCCCAGCACACAGGCCUGGGCUUUUCUGCCCCUUUGCGCUCCCUGAUCUAGCCCGAUUCCCGGGGAAACCUCUAAGCCCUCUUUCAGUCCUGGGUCUCUUUAAGCAGUGGCUGCCAGCGCUGUAGGGGAUUCGUGGUGACUCAGCCCUGGCCCCAGAAAAGCUGGAGGCACAAUCGCUCAGCCAGGAUGUGGCUGUGAGCCCGCGAGCUGCUGGGAGGAGAGAAAGCUGUUCUCUCGGGCCUUCUCAAGCUCCCUCCCUCUGCUUGGCGUCCCAGCCACCAUCCUGGAGGAGGCCACUGCGAGGCUGGCUGCAUUCUCUCCAGGACCUGAAAGGCCUGCCUGGAUCCCAGGAGGGAAAUCAGGCAGCUGGCAGAGAAAGCAGAGAGGGUCCCUGUCUUCUCCCUCUCGCUUAAGGCGGCUAAAUCUGGCUGUAGAGGGUUCGGCUCUUUCCCUCCCCACUAAGAACGCAGGAGCAGAGGGGGCACCAGCAAAGCGAGGGCCAACCCGGUGGCCCCACAAAGUCUGGGAGCCCCACUUAGAUCCUAACUGGCCCACUUCCACCCGUCUCCAAGCAACGUGACACGAAAUCCACUGGAACGCCAUCUCCAAGCCAGGGAGCUGGAAGGCGCUGGGCCACUCUUGCUCACACCCCCGCACUUGUGGGGGUGGGAGCAGGAAUCGGGGGGUAGGAGAUACAGGCUCUGCCCAGAGCCCACAGCCCCGAGAAACUCCUUGCACAGCUGAAGAAGAAAAAGAGAUUCAGUCUCUUGCAGGUUAAAGACAAGGUCACCAGGAGAGGGGCUGAGGUGGGGCAGCUCGCUCAAGGGUGUCCCACGUGCUCCCUGCCCCCGUUCGUGGAUCCCGGGUGUACAUGGUUUAGGGUCUUCCAGGUACAUGCUCGUGGGCAGGGCCAGCCUCGGGGAGUUAGGACAGGCCUGUCUGAACCUUCCUGCUGACACACAAUCUACCUCCUCUAGCUCCAACCUCUGCUUCGUAUCUUCCUUAAGACAUUUGGGCAAAGACCUAGCAAUUGUUACUCAAUCCCCAUAAAAG